rnacentral:rRNA from 1 species
CAUGUAGGCGGCUUUUCAAGCGUUGUGUGAAAUCCCUCGGCCCAACCGAGGACCUGCAUAGCGAACUGUUGAGCUUGAGGCAAGUAGGGGCGUGUGGAACUCUUGGUGGAGCGGUGGAAUGCGUAGAUAUCAAGAGGAACGCCGGUGGCGAAGGCGACACGCUGGGCUUGUCCUGACGCUGAGAUGCGAAAGCCAGGGUAGCGAACAGGAUUAGAUACCCUGGUAGUCC